AUUGCGCAUUCGUGGAUGGCGCGAGUGCGUCAGUAACCAAAGAGGGUCGCAGUGUAGAGUAGAUCUAUAUGAUAUAUAUCACCUGCUCGCUACCUCCUCCGCCCCGCUCAAACACCCAAACCCCGGUCAGGGAACGAAACACCCGUACAUGAGCGGGAGGACACCAUUCAGAAGAUCAACCCACAACUAACAGCUUUAUCGCCGUUGAGAACACAGGUGUCUGUGUGAGAUAUUGGUUGAGUCCAGAGAUACCAGAAAGAAGCUACUGACACUGAGGUUACUGCUGGAGAGGGCACACCAAUGAACACACAUCACAAAGGUACACACAGAUUAUACAGCUAUGGAGGAUUACGUUUCAUUCAUCAUCUGCCUGGUCUCUCUGAAGUCCUACAUGGUUUGAGUGAUGGACUUGUCUAACGGUACAGAGGGGGUCUUCUCC